rnacentral:rRNA from 1 species
GGGAUGCGUCUGAUUAGCUUGUUGGCGGGGUAACGGCCCACCAAGGCAACGAUCAGUAGGGGUUCUGAGAGGAAGGUCCCCCACAUUGGAACUGAGACACGGUCCAAACUCCUACGGGAGGCAGCAGUGAGGAAUAUUGGUCAAUGGACGAGAGUCUGAACCAGCCAAGUAGCGUGCAGGAUGACGGCCCUAUGGGUUGUAAACUGCUUUUAUAAGGGAAUAAAGUGAGAGUCGUGACUCUUUUUGCAUGUACCUUAUGAAUAAGGACCGGCUAAUUCCGUGCCAGCAGCCGCGGUAAUACGGAAGGUCCGGGCGUUAUCCGGAUUUAUUGGGUUUAAAGGGAGCGUAGGCCGGAGAUUAAGCGUGUUGUGAAAUGUAGAUGCUCAACAUCUGCACUGCAGCGCGAACUGGUUUCCUUGAGUACGCACAAAGUGGGCGGAAUUCGUGGUGUAGCGGUGAAAUGCUUAGAUAUCACGAAGAACUCCGAUUGCGAAGGCAGCUCACUGGAGCGCAACUGACGCUGAAGCUCGAAAGUGCGGGUAUCGAACAGGAUUAGAUACCCUGGUAGUCCGCACGGUAAACGAUGGAUGCCCGCUGUUGGUCUGAAUAGGUCAGCGGCCAAGCGAAAGCAUUAAGCAUCCCACCUGGGGAGU